UAUGGGCAAUGGUGAAUAUACCCAAACAAAUGAUAAUGGCACAACAGGACAACCAGCUUCUUUGGAUCCAAGCAGAACCACUGAGCCUCUUGGCUUCAGAUUCUGAGCUGUGUGGCUGCCUGCACGUUCAGAGUUUCUGUGACUUAUGAAUACAAUACAGAUAAUCCUCGACUUACAACCAUUCAUUUAUUGACAACAGCACCAAAAAAAGUGACAUGACCAUUUUUCACACUUGCAAGUAUCCUCCUCAUGUGAUCAAAAUUUGAAAGCUUGGCAACUGGGUGACAGUCUCAGGCCAUACAUUACUUUACUGCAAAUCUCCAGAAGAUGAAGCAUCAGAAACAAUGCCUGGGGCACCAGAAGAGAAAGACCAGCUGUGGCUCUGACUGAUCCCAGAUAUAAGCUCAAGUAAACAACUAUAAGGCAGGGAAAGCUUUCAUUUUUAAUGCAUAUUGUUUUUAAUGUUCUCCUUUAUUUCAUGACAUUGUAAACUGCCUAGAGUUGCUUGACAGUGUGAUGGGUAUGUUGAUUGAAUAAAUAAAAUAAAAGCACCAUUAUUUCUUC